AUUCCAGCUCCAAUAGCGUAUAUUAAAGUUGUUGUGGUUAAAAAGCUCGUAGUUGGAUCUCGGCGGUCUGAGGGCGGUUCGCUUCAGAGCGCUACUGCCCUAUAGACCGUAGUUUUGCCAGAGGUCUCAGGGUGCUCUUAACCGAGUGUCUUGCGAUGCUGGCAGGUUUACUUUGAAAAAAUUUGAGUGCUCAAAGCAGGCUUUUACGCCUGAAUAUUCGUGCAUGGAAUAAUAGAAUAGGAAGUCGUUUCUAUUUUGUUGGUUUUCGGAAAUCGACUUAAUGAUUAAUAGGGACAGUCGGGGGCAUUUGUAUUCAAACGACAGAGGUGAAAUUCUUGGACCGUUUGAAGACAAACUACUGCGAAAGCAUUUGCCAAGAAUGUUUUCAUUA
rnacentral:rRNA from 1 species